rnacentral:tRNA from 1 species
AGCGGAUAUAGUAUAGUGGUAUUACUUUAGCCUUCCAAGCUAAAAAUGUGGGUUCGAUUCCCAUUAUCCGCUA